GUUAAGUUAAUAAGGGCGCACGGUGGAUGCCUUGGCACUAGAAGCCGAUGAAGGACGUUACUAACGACGAUAUGCUUUGGGUAGCUGUAAGUAAGCGUUGAUCCAGAGAUUUCCGAAUGGGGGAACCCAGCAUGAGUUAUGUCAUGUUAUCGACAUGUGAAUUCAUAGCAUGUCAGAAGGCAGACCCGGAGAACUGAAACAUCUUAGUACCCGGAGGAAGAGAAAGAAAAAUCGAUUCCCUGAGUAGCGGCGAGCGAAACGGGAAGAGCCCAAACCAACAAGCUUGCUUGUUGGGGUUGUAGGACACUCUAUACGGAGUUACAAAAGAACAUGUUAGACGAAUCAUCUGGAAAGAUGAAUCAAAGAAGGUAAUAAUCCUGUAGUCGAAAACAUAUUCUCUCUUGAGUGGAUCCUGAGUACGACGGAGCACGUGAAAUUCCGUCGGAAUCUGGGAGGACCAUCUCCUAAGGCUAAAUACUCUCUAGUGACCGAUAGUGAACCAGUACCGUGAGGGAAAGGUGAAAAGUACCCCGGAAGGGGAGUGAAAGAGAACUUGAAACCGUGUGCUUACAAGUAGUCAGAGCCCGUUAAUGGGUGAUGGCGUGCCUUUUGUAGAAUGAACCGGCGAGUUACGAUCUGAUGCAAGGUUAAGCAGCAAAUGUGGAGCCGCAGCGAAAGCGAGUCUGAAUAGGGCGUUGAGUAUUUGGUCGUAGACCCGAAACCAGGUGAUCUACCCUUGGUCAGGUUGAAGUUCAGGUAACACUGAAUGGAGGACCGAACCGACUUACGUUGAAAAGUGAGCGGAUGAACUGAGGGUAGCGGAGAAAUUCCAAUCGAACUUGGAGAUAGCUGGUUCUCUCCGAAAUAGCUUUAGGGCUAGCCUCAAGUGAUGAUUAUUGGAGGUAGAGCACUGUUUGGACGAGGGGCCCCUCUCGGGUUACCGAAUUCAGACAAACUCCGAAUGCCAAUUAAUUUAACUUGGGAGUCAGAACAUGGGUGAUAAGGUCCGUGUUCGAAAGGGAAACAGCCCAGACCACCAGCUAAGGUCCCAAAAUAUAUGUUAAGUGGAAAAGGAUGUGGCGUUGCCCAGACAACUAGGAUGUUGGCUUAGAAGCAGCCAUCAUUUAAAGAGUGCGUAAUAGCUCACUAGUCGAGUGACACUGCGCCGAAAAUGUACCGGGGCUAAACAUAUUACCGAAGCUGUGGAUUGUCCUUUGGACAAUGGUAGGAGAGCGUUCUAAGGGCGUCGAAGCAUGAUCGCAAGGACAUGUGGAGCGCUUAGAAGUGAGAAUGCCGGUGUGAGUAGCGAAAGACGGGUGAGAAUCCCGUCCACCGAUUGACUAAGGUUUCCAGAGGAAGGCUCGUCCGCUCUGGGUUAGUCGGGUCCUAAGCUGAGGCCGACAGGCGUAGGCGAUGGAUAACAGGUUGAUAUUCCUGUACCACCUAGUAUCGUUUUAAUCGAUGGGGGGACGCAGUAGGAUAGGCGAAGCGUGCUGUUGGAGUGCACGUCCAAGCAGUAAGGCUGAGUGUUAGGCAAAUCCGGCACUCAUAAGGCUGAGCUGUGAUGGGGAGAGGAAAUUGUUUCCUCGAGUCGUUGAUUUCACACUGCCGAGAAAAGCCUCUAGAUAGAUAACAGGUGCCCGUACCGCAAACCGACACAGGUAGUCAAGAUGAGAAUUCUAAGGUGAGCGAGCGAACUCUCGUUAAGGAACUCGGCAAAAUGACCCCGUAACUUCGGGAGAAGGGGUGCUCUUUAGGGUUCACGCCCAGAAGAGCCGCAGUGAAUAGGCCCAAGCGACUGUUUAUCAAAAACACAGGUCUCUGCUAAACCGUAAGGUGAUGUAUAGGGGCUGACGCCUGCCCGGUGCUGGAAGGUUAAGAGGAUUGGUUAGCCCUUUUUUGGGCGAAGCUGAGAAUUUAAGCCCCAGUAAACGGCGGUGGUAACUAUAACCAUCCUAAGGUAGCGAAAUUCCUUGUCGGGUAAGUUCCG
rnacentral:rRNA from 1 species